GGGAGAGAGAGAGAGAGUGUGAGACAGGGAGAGAGAGACAGUGUGAGACAGAGAGAGAGAGUGUGAGACAGGGAGAGACAGUAUGUGGGAGAGAGGGACAGGGAGAGAGACAGUGUGUGGGAGAGAAGGACAGGGAGAGAGAGUGUGUGUGUGUGAGAGAGAGAGACAGGGAGAGAAUGUGUGAGAGACAGGGAGAGAGACAGUGUGUGGGAGAGAAGGACAGGGAGAGACAGUGUGUGUGUGAGACAGGGAGAGAGAAACUGAGACAGUGUGUGAGAGAGACAAUGUGUGUGUGUGAGACAGAUUGUGUGUGUGUGUGUGAGAGAGAGAGACUGUGUGUGUG